rnacentral:rRNA from 2 species
GAAACGACUGCUAAGACUGGAUAGGAGACAAGAAGGCAUCUUCUUGUUUUUAAAAGACCUAGCAAUAGGUAUGCUUAGAGAGGGGCUUGCGUCACAUUAGUUAGUUGGUGGGGUAAAGGCCUACCAAGACUAUGAUGUGUAGCCGGGCUGAGAGGUUGAACGGCCACAUUGGGACUGAGACACGGCCCAAACUCCUACGGGAGGCAGCAGUAGGGAAUUUUCGGCAAUGGAGGAAACUCUGACCGAGCAACGCCGCGUGAACGAUGAAGUAUUUCGGUACGUAAAGUUCUUUUAUUAAGGAAGAAUACAUGAUGGAAAAAUCAUUCUGACGGUACCUAAUGAAUAAGCCCCGGCUAACUAUGUGCCAGCAGCCGCGGUAAUACAUAGGGGGCAAGCGUUAUCCGGAAUUAUUGGGCGUAAAGGGUGCGUAGGCGGUUAAAUAAGUUUGUGGUCUAAGUGCAAUGCUCAACAUUGUGAUGCUAUAAAAACUGUUUAGCUAGAGUAAGAUAGAGGCAAGUGGAAUUCCAUGUGUAGUGGUAAAAUGUGUAAAUAUAUGGAGGAACACCAGUAGCGAAGGCGGCUUGCUGGGUCUUUACUGACGCUGAGGCACGAAAGCGUGGGGAGCAAACAGGAUUAGAUACCCUGGUAGUCCACGCCGUAAACGAUGAGUACUAAACGUUGGUUAAAACCAGUGUUGAAGUUAACACAUUAAGUACUCCGCCUGAGUAGUACGUACGCAAGUAUGAAACUUAAAGGAAUUGACGGGACUCCGCACAAGCGGUGGAUCAUGUUGUUUAAUUCGAAGGUACCCGAAAAACCUCACCAGGUCUUGACAUGCUUCUGCAAAGCUGUAGAAACACAGUGGAGGUUAUCAGUUGCACAGGUGGUGCAUGGUUGUCGUCAGCUCGUGUCGUGAGAUGUUGGGUUAAGUCCCGCAACGGGCGCAACCCUUAUUGUUAGUUACCAGCACGUAAUGGUGGGGACUUUAGCAAGACUGCCAGUGAUAAAUUGGAGGAAGGUGGGGACGACGUCAAAUCAUCAUGCCCCUUAUGAUCUGGGCUACAAACGUGAUACAAUGGCUGUUACAAAGGGUAGCUGAAGCGCAAGUUUUUGGCGAAUCUCAAAAAAACAGUCUCAGUUCGGAUUGAAGUCUGCAACUCGACUUCAUGAAGUUGGAAUCGCUAGUAAUCGCGAAUCAGCAUGUCGCGGUGAAUACGUUCGCGGGGUUUGUACACACCGCCCGUCA